CCUACGGGGGGCAGCAGUAGGGAAUUUUUCACAAUGGGCGAAAGCCUGAUGGAGCAACGCCGCGUGCAGGAUGAAGGCCUUCGGGUUGUAAACUGCUUUUAUAAGCGAGAAAUAUGAUGGUAACUUAUGAAUAAGGAUCGGCUAACUACGUGCCAGCAGCCGCGGUCAUACGUAGGAUCCGAGCAUUAUCCGGAGUGACUGGGUGUAAAGAGUUGCGUAGGUGGCAUAAUAAGUAGCUAGUUAAAUCUGGUGGCUCAACCAUUCAGACUAUUAGCUAAACUGUUAAGCUCGAGACCGUUAGGGGUAACUGGAAUGUCUAGUGUAGGAGUGAAAUCCGUAGAUAUUAGAAGGAACACCAAUAGCGUAGGCAGGUUGCUGGGACGGUUCUGACACUAAGGCACGAAAGCGUAGGGAGCAAACGGGAUUAGAUACCCUAGUAGUC
rnacentral:rRNA from 1 species